rnacentral:rRNA from 1 species
GUGGGGUAACGGCCUACCAAGGCUAUGACGGGUAGCUGACGUGAGAGCGUGAGCAGCCACACUGGGACUGAGACACGCCCAGACUCCUACGGGAGGCAGCAGUGGGGAAUAUUGCGCAAUGGGCGAAAGCCUGACGCAGCGACGCCGCGUGGGGGAGGAAGGCCUUAGGGUUGUAAACCCCUGUCAGGUGGGACGAACCCCGGGUCGGUGAAUAAUCGGCUCGACUGACGGUACCACCAGAGGAAGCUCCGGCUAACUCCGUGCCAGCAGCCGCGGUAAUACGGAGGGAGCGAGCGUUGUUCGGAAUCACUGGGCGUAAAGGGCGCGUAGGCGGCCGAGUAAGUCGUGUGUGAAAGACCGGGGCUCAACUCCGUGUACUGCAUGCGAUACUGCCCGGCUAGAGAAAGGUAGAGGCGAGUGGAAUUCCCGGUGUAGCGGUGGAAUGCGUAGAUAUCGGGAAGAACACCUGUGGCGAAGGCGGCUCGCUGGGCCUUUUCUGACGCUGAAGUGCGAAAGCGUGGGGAGCAAACAGGAUUAGAUACCCUGGUAGUCCACGCCGUAAACGAUGGGCACUAGGCGUUGGGAGGAUUGACCCUCUCAGUGCCGUAGCUAACGCGUUAAGUG